GGGCCUCUGGCCAUGUUGGCUAGAGCGGCGAACUCAUCAUUCGUUGGUGCCGCGUCUGAUUCGCGGGAGGCCCGCCA
rnacentral:tRNA from 1 species